GCCUGGGUGGCUCAGUCGGUUGAGCGGCUGACUUCGGCUCAGGUCAUGAUCUCGCGGUCCGUGAGUUCGAGCCCCGCGUCAGGCU
rfam:Felis catus isolate Cinnamon breed Abyssinian chromosome C1, whole genome shotgun sequence.